rnacentral:rRNA from 1 species
GAUGAACGCUAGCGGCAGGCCUAACACAUGCAAGUCGAGCGACAAGCCUUCGGGCUAAGACCGGUGCACGGGUGCGUAACGCGUAUACAAACUGCCUUUUCUCCGGGUGAUAGUCCGAAGAACUUUGGGUUAAUAACCUUUGGCAUAAGAGCAAGGCAUCGUGCACUUAUUAACGCUAGGGCGUUAAACCAUGCGUAUGCGUUCUAUUGGCUAGUUGGUGAGGUAACGGCUCCGCAAGGCGACGAUAGAUAGGGGUUUCGAGAGGGAUGUCCCCCACACUGGUACUGAGAUACGGACCAGUCUGCUACGGGAGGGAGCAGUGAGGAAGACAGGAGAAUGGUCGCAAGACUGAUCCAGCCAUGCCGCGUGCAGGAUGACGGCGUUAUGGAUGGUAAUCUGCUGUUGUAAGGGAGGAAUAGGGUGUACGGGUGCUUUGAUGACGGUACCUUACGAAUAAGCACCGGCUAACUCCGUG